UAUAGCCACCAAUUUCUACUGAGUAUUUAUCUACUAUAUGGCAGGUCAAGUCUGCAUUCUGGGAUAAAGUGUUGACACAAUCUUGAAUCAGUGCCUAAGGAGUUCACAAGUCCAGAGAGGGGAUAGCGCAUAGAGAAGAUAAAGCAGAUGUCCAUCCAAAGACUUGUAUGUGAAUGUUCAUAGCAACUUUAUUUGUAAUAGCCAAAACCUGAAAGCAACCCAAAUGUAUGUUAAGAAGCGAAUGGAUACAUAAAUUGUGGCAUAUGCAUACAAUGGGAUACCCAGCAAUAAAAAGGAAUGAACUAUUCAAAGAUAAGAGAGCUGAAGAAGAGUGAAAAUAAAGAAACUUCUGCAAAGCCACACAUGUAAUUGACCCAUCAUUUGGAUGACCCGAAACCACAGAUGCAAUAGAAGAAUGGAACAAAUUUGUACAUUUUGUCAAUAAAAACUUUAUCUUCA
rnacentral:lncRNA from 10 species